GAUGAACGCUGGCGGCGUGCUUAACACAUGCAAGUCGAACGGAAAGGCCCAAGCUUGCUUGGGUACUCGAGUGGCGAACGGGUGAGUAACACGUGGGUGAUCUGCCCUGCACUUCGGGAUAAGCCUGGGAAACUGGGUCUAAUACCGGAUAGGACGAUGGUUUGGAUGCCAUUGUGGAAAGUUUUUUCGGUGUGGGAUGAGCUCGCGGCCUAUCAGCUUGUUGGUGGGGUAAUGGCCUACCAAGGCGUCGACGGGGAGCCGGCCUGAGAGGGUGUACGGCCACAUUGGGACUGAGAGACGGCCCAGAGUCCGACGGGGGGCAGCAGUGGGGAAUAUUGCACAAUGGGCGCAAGCCUGAGGCAGCGACGCCGCGUGGGGGAUGACGGCCUUCGGGUUGUAAACUCCUUUCGCUAGGGACGAAGCGUUUUUGUGACGGUACCUGGAGAAGAAGCACCGGCUAACUACGUG
rnacentral:rRNA from 1 species